AAGUCGUAACAAGGUUUCCGUAGGUGAACCUGCGGAAGGAUCAUUCAAUGAGUUUGAACCAGGACUUGAUGCUGACUUCAAAUUUUGAAGUACGUGCUCAGUUCUACUCAAUCCACUCAACACCUGUGCACUUUCAAAGCUGUAGUCCUCCGUUAUGGGAGCCGUACUUUGUAAUGAAGUACUGGGACUGCUCUUUGCCCAUUAUCACAAACACUUUAAAGUCAUGUAGAAUGUUUAUAGCCUAAGGGCUUAAGUUAAUACAACUUUCAACAACGGAUCUCUUGGCUCUC
rnacentral:misc_RNA from 1 species